AUUGAACGCUGGCGGCAGGCCUAACACAUGCAAGUCGAACGAGUGGCGGACGGGUGAGUAAUGUCUGGGAAACUGCCUGAUGGAGGGGGAUAACUACUGGAAACGGUAGCUAAUACCGCAUACCAUCAGAUGUGCCCAGAUGGGCUUAGCUGGUGGGUGGGGUAAAGGCUCACCAAGGGGACGAUCCCUAGCUGGUAUGGGAGGAUGACAAGCCACACUGGAACGGAGACACGGUCCAGACUCCUACGGGAGGCAGCAGUGGGGAAUAGUGCACAAUGGGCGCAAGCCUUAUGCAGCCAUGCCGCGUGUAUGAAGAAGGCCUUCGGGUUGUAAAGUACUUUCAGCGGGGAGGCGUUACCCGCAGAAGAAGCACCGGCUAACUCCGUGCCAGCAGCCGCGGUAAUUC
rnacentral:rRNA from 1 species